UACGUAGGGUGCAAGCGUUGCUCGGAAUCAUUGGGCGUAAAGCGCACGUAGGCGGCCUGUUAAGUCGGGUGUGAAAGCCCUGGCUCAACCCAGGAAGUGCACUCGAAACUGGCGGGCUUGAAUAUGGAAGAGGGUCGCGGAAUUCCCGGUGUAGAGGUGAAAUUCGUAGAUAUCGGAGGAACACCAGUGGCGAAGGCGGCGACCGUGGGCCA
rnacentral:rRNA from 1 species